UUGAAAGGGAAACGAUUGAAGUUAGUCAUGCCGACGGGAAUCAACUUAGAGGAAACUCUGGGUGCACUUCUUCGUUUGGCAGGUUAGUGUCGAUUUUGGAUGUCAUAAAAUAAUUGGGGGAAGGUAGCUCUUUCGGGAGUGUUAUAGCCCUUGGUAGAUGUGAUGUCUGGGAUCGAGGAUUGCAACGGAUACCCUUCGGGGCUAACCGCCUGAUCUCUAAUUGGUGUUGGGUUACGGACAGCAUGCUGACCGUUUUCUAAUUACUGGUUAAAAGGUUAGAGCGUGUAUAAAUUCGUUAAGGAUGUUGACGUA
rnacentral:rRNA from 1 species